UAAUUGGUCGAGAUAAACUUU
rnacentral:piRNA from 1 species